rnacentral:rRNA from 1 species
UACGUAGGGUGCAAGCGUUGUCCGGAAUUAUUGGGCGUAAAGAGCUCGUAGGCGGUUUGUCGCGUCUGCUGUGAAAACCCGAGGCUCAACCUCGGGCCUGCAGUGGGUACGGGCAGACUAGAGUGCGGUAGGGGAGAUUGGAAUUCCUGGUGUAGCGGUGGAAUGCGCAGAUAUCAGGAGGAACACCAAUGGCGAAGGCAGAUCUCUGGGCCGUAACUGACGCUGAGACGCGAAAGCGUGGGGAGCGAACAGG